GGCGACGAUCCGUAGCCUGGUCUGAGAGGAUGAUCAGCCACACUGGGACUGAGACACGGCCCAGACUCCUACGGGAGGCAGCAGUGGGGAAUAUUGGACAAUGGGCGCAAGCCUGAUCCAGCCAUGCCGCGUGUGUGAUGAAGGCCUUAGGGUUGUAAAGCACUUUCGCCGGUGAAGAUAAUGACGGUAACCGGAGAAGAAGCCCCGGCUAACUUCGUGCCAGCAGCCGCGGUAAUACGAAGGGGGCUAGCGUUGCUCGGAAUCACUGGGCGUAAAGCGCACGUAGGCGGAUCGUUAAGUCAGGGGUGAAAUCCUGGAGCUCAACUCCAGAACUGCCCUUGAUACUGGCGAUCUCGAGUUCGAGAGAGGUUGGUGGAACUCCGAGUGUAGAGGUGAAAUUCGUAGAUAUUCGGAAGAACACCAGUGGCGAA
rnacentral:rRNA from 1 species